rnacentral:lncRNA from 1 species
AGCAAGCAUAGAGAGGGGUGGCUUGGCCUUAGGAGCUUGCGCCAUGGGAAGGUUUUAAGCAGGAAGAUGAUAGGGCCUGGGCCACAGGUUAGAGAGAUCACACACCCUUUGACCAACAUUAGAGAGAAAAUAAAUGGAAAAGAUGUGGUUGGAACCCAGCAGACUCAGCAAACAAGGCCUACAUUCUUCCAAUUUCUCUGCCUCCUGAGGAACAGUUCCUUUCUUGGCCACAGGAAGCAUAUUUCAGCAUGGAAACUCCUAGGCAGGCUCGUCAGUGAUCUUUCUUCUUACUGCCUCUUGUUUUCGUUGCAUCCUUUCUCUUAUCAGCCAUGCCUCUGUGAGGCACAUCCCCUGUUACUGAUGUUCAAACCGUCUGGACUGUACCCUGCUAGACCAAGGAUGCCCUGGAAGAGGACGCGGCUUGCUGAGCAGAGUGGCGCUCUCUGCUGGGUGCCCUGCUGUGGGUGCAUGGCCUCAUUCCAGCCUUAAAGAACUCAGAAGGUAGGCAAUCACAC